CAGGGAUUGCCCUAGUAACGGCGAGUGAAGCGGCAACAGCUCAAAUUUGAAAUCUGGCUUUCGGGCCCGAGUUGUAAUUUGUAGAGGAUGAUUUUGAUGCGGUGCCUUCCGAGUUCCCUGGAACGGGACGCCAUAGAGGGUGAGAGCCCCGUCUGGUUGGAUGCCAAAUCUCUGUAAAUCUCCUUCGACGAGUCGAGUAGUUUGGGAAUGCUGCUCUAAAUGGGAGGUAUAUGUCUUCUAAAGCUAAAUACCGGCCAGAGACCGAUAGCGCACAAGUAGAGUGAUCGAAAGAUGAAAAGCACUUUGAAAAGAGAGUUAAAAAGUACGUGAAAUUGUUGAAAGGGAAGCGUUUAUGACCAGACUUGGGCUUGGUUAAUCAUCUGGGGUUCUCUCCAGUGCACUUUUCCAGCCCAGGCCAGCAUCAGUUUUCGCCGGGGGAUAAAGACUUCGGGAAUGUGGCUCCCCUCGGGGAGUGUUAUAGCCCGUUGUGUAAUACCCUGGUGGGGACUGAGGUUCGCGCUUCUGCAAGGAUGCUGGCGUAAUGGUCAUCAACGACCCGUCUUGAAACACGGACCAAGGAGUCGUCUUCGUAUGCGAGUGUUCGGGUGUCAAACCCCUACGCGUAAUGAAAGUGAACGCAGGUGAGAGCUUCGGCGCAUCAUCGACCGAUCCUGAUGUUCUCGGAUGGAUUUGAGUAAGAGCAUACGGGGCCGGACCCGAAAGAAGGUGAACUAUGCCUGUGUAGGGUGAAGCCAGAGGAAACUCUGGUGGAGGCUCGCAGCGGUUCUGACGUGCAAAUCGAUCGUCAAACAUGGGCAUGGGGGCGAAAGACUAAU
rnacentral:rRNA from 1 species